GUGGGGUGGGGGUGGGGG
rnacentral:miRNA from 1 species